rnacentral:tRNA from 1 species
GCGCCCGUAGCUCAGCUGGAUAGAGCAUCGGACUUCGAAUCCGAGAGUCGCAGGUUCGAAUCCUGCCGGGCGUACCA